CAAAAAAACGACAGACAAACAAAAAACAGUGCUGUUGAGUGUGCAUUGAGACAGGCAUUUUCCAACACUGCCUUUCUGGAAGCAGGGAGGAGAGGCACAGAAAUUUCAGCAAGGGUAAAGUCUUCAUCCUGCAACCAUAUUUCUAGGAGUCUAGAUAAUUCGAUAUACAGGUAAAGUCACAGCAUUUAUUUAAUCAUGUUAAUUAGUUAUGUAACAUAUAAUAAAAUAAUAUUGUAUGUUAAUACAUAAUAUAAAUAUAUUAUGCUAAUACAUUGAUAUAUACACACUUAGUCCUUCUAUCUGUUACUAAAGGGAGCUCACGUGGCACCAACAAGGAAACACACACUUAGUCCUUCUAUCUGUUACUAAAGCGAGCUCACGUGACAUCAACAAGGAAACACACUUAGUCCUUCUAUCUGUUACUAAAGGGAGUUCACGUGACAUCAGCAAGGAAACACAGUCUUAUCUGUUACUAAAGCGAGCUCACGCGACAUCAACAAGGAAACACAGUUAGUCCUUCUAUCUGUUACUAAAGGGAGCUCACGAGACAUCAACAAGGAAACACAGUUAGUCCUUCUAUCUGUUACUAAAGGGAGCUCACGUGACAUCAACAAGGAAACACACUUAGUCCUUCCAUCUGUUACUACAGGGAGCUCACGUGACAUCAGCAAGGAAACACAGUACUAUCUGUUACUAAAGGGAGCUCACGUGACAUCAAAAACGAAACACACUUAGUCCUUCUAUCUGUUACUAAAGGGAGCUCACGCGACAUCAACAAGGAAACACAGUCCUUCUAUCUGUUACUAAAGGGAGCUCACGUGACAUCAACAAGGAAACAAACUUAGUCCUUCUAUCCGUUACUAAAGUGAGCUCAUGUGACAUCAACAAGGAAACACACUUAGUCCUUCUAUCUGUUACUAAAGGGAGUUCACGUGACCUCAGCAAGGAAACACAGUCUUAUCUGUUACUAAAGUGAGCUCACGUGACAUCAACAAGGAAACACACUUAGUCCUUCUAUCUGUUACUAAAGCGAGCUCACGCGAUAUCAACAAGGAAACACAGUCCUUCUAUCUGUUACUAAAGGGGGCUCACGUGACAUCAACAAGGAAACACACUUAGUCCUUCUAUCUGUUACUAAAGGGAGCUCACGUGACAUCAGCAAGAAAACACAGUCCUUCUAUCUGUUACUAAAGGUAGCUCACGUGACAUCAGCAAGGAAACACAGUCCUUCUAUCUGUUACUAAAGGGAGCUCACGUGACAUCAGCAAGGAAACACAGUCCUUCUGUCUGUUACUAAAGGGAGCUCACGCGACAUCAACAAGGAAACACAGACCUUCUAUCUGUUACUAAAGCGAGGUCACGUGACAUCAACAAGGAAACAUACAGUUAGUCCUUUGUAUCUGUGAUUUGUGCAUGUGCUGAUUCAAGCAGCCACGAGUCAAAAAUAUUUGCAAAAAAAGCCCUUUAAACUGUAUUGAACAUAUACAAAGUUUUUCUUUUUAUUAUUCUCUAAAUGACACAGUGUAACAACGAUUUGCAUAGCAUUUACAUUGUAGUAGGUGUUACCAGUAAUCUAGAGAUGAUUUAAAGUAUAGGGAGAAUGUGCAUAGUCUACGCUGAAUACUACACAACUGCAUAUCAGGGACUUGAGCGUCUAGGGAUUCUGGUAUCUGGGGGAGGUCCUGGAUCCAAUUUCUCAUGAAUAUCGACAGAUGACUGUAUGUUGUAUCUUGAUGCAAUGAAUAAACAAAGCAGAUAACAGUAACUGACAUGGGGUAGAAGGUGAGGGGAAAUGAAGGGGUUGCUAUUUAUAUGUUUACAUGGGAUGAACAGGGCAGACCCCACAGAGGGGAUAUUUAACAGAAGCUAAACGUACGAGAAGCAGUCCUGAGAACUGUAGACCAAGAGAGCUCGUGGUGGCCCUGGGAAGGGGCUUGUCAAAUCUCGUGGCCCCUAGGGGCUGGUGACUGUUAGCGGCUGGCCAACAGCCAGCUGCCGCCCUGAAAUCUACCACUGUCAGCCGGUAACCCACCAUGGUGGAGUAUAAAGGCAGGCCUGCUGCGAGGAGAUGAAAGACUCCUCUGCUGGGCAGCCUGGGCUGGAGGGUUCUACUACCAGCCUUGCCAAAAGUUUCUCAGAAUUGCACUGCAUUUUAAGACUUUGCCUGCCCAGCCCCCUGCAGCCCCUUCUCAUUUUCCUCCACAUGCACUUCUCCCAAAUAAUCUCUUGAGUGGCAAAUACCAUUCCGGUGUUUGCUGCUCCAAGAGCCCAGAUGUACACAGUGUUCCAAGAGAGGCUGCACAAAUACAGUGGCCCCGAGGAGCUUGGCAUUUUCGAGGAGCAUCAAGGAGGCCAGCGUGGCGUUCAUGGAAAGGACAGAGGGAGAGUGGGAGAUGAGGUCAGAAAUGUACUUGAAGUCCUUGCCGAAGAAAAAUCGUUGACUUGCUUAUUAUAAAACCCUUUUUGUUAAGGAAGAAAUAAAAACUGUUAACCAAUGGCAUCUGUAUCCAUUACAGAAUUUAAAGGCAGGGUAUCAUACAGCCAGUACCUUACAGUCUUCCCAUUAGCAGCAUUCAACACAUCUGUCCAGGUAGUAAACCUAAGUGGCCCAGCUCUGGGCCAUUAAAUUUUGAUGUAACCCAUUAAGGAAACUUACGGCCUUAGUUCAAAGGGCUGUUGCCAUUGUGUCUGUGAGAGCGGUGCUGCAGAGUGCAUUUUAUGCAAAUCUCAUAGAUUUUAAUGAGUGAUCCUGCUUAAUAAGCUAGUUAGACCAUUUGGGCAUUUACUUGAGAGUGACCACAAAUGCCUUUUUCUGAAACCAUUUUACAGUGCUAACAUUUCACUGAAAUAGCACUUAACACGGAGCCAGGCACACAGUGAGCACUAAGAGUGUUACAUGACUGAUGACAGGGAUGAAGAACAGGAGUCUUACCAGGUGUGUCAGUCUCGAUGCUCCUGAAUGACCCAGACAAAAAGGGACUAGAAACUUUCUUUUCAGGAGUUUGUGGCUUAGAUCCCUGUUUCACCACAAAGCAUGAGCUUGACACAGCCUGGACUUGACAGCACUUUCCACAGGGCACUUAAAAAUACUUGUACCUCCUCUCUUUUACCUCCAUAAACCAUGACAGGUCUUUGCUCAGCCUCUGAUAAGCAAAAGAUUAGAAAAUCCCUUUAAACUUCAGAAACAGAGCAAUGCUCAGUCAGGCGAUAAAAGCUGCAGAAAUUGGUCUUGAAUAUUAUCACUGUGUAUCAACUGAAGUCAGAUGAAGAGCUCCACAUUCAUCCAAAGUUCUUUUCAUACUAAUUAGAUGCUCUUCAAAGGUGUAAUUACCAUUUAAAAAUGACUUUGGAGUGCAGGAUACACAAUAGAUUUUUAAUGUCUUUUAAUUUAUUUCGAUGUUUCUCAUAUUUCAUUAGUACGUUCUUAUUUUACCAAUGAGUCACAGGACUUUCAAGGACUUUUCCCUCUCCCACAGUUAAAAUGCUAAGCAGAAGCUAAGCUCACGUGAAAAACUUGUCUCAAUAACCAGAGAAAGACUAUACUAAUUACAAUUUGGAUUGUGUGGAUUAUCAAUUUGUCCGAUACUCCGUUUGCCUCCACCUUGAGGAGAGAACUAUUUCCAGCCCCAGAGUCAAGCUGCCUCAUUGCACGGAAGAGGGAGUAAAAUAAGAAGCCUGGUGAUGUGCUUAUUGUCACAAUUUGUGGUACAGCUGACACUUAGACUACAUCUGCCCUUGAAGCUCAACUUCUUUGCCCUACUCCUGUGGUGUUUCUUGGCAUCUGGUAUCAUUUCAAAAGGAUAAGAAUGGCAUAGAGAAGGUUUCUCAUUGCUAAGCAUGGAGUAGGAAUAUUUUAGUGAAAUGUGUAAGUUUUGGGGCGGAAGUAAAAACACCCCAUCUGCUCUUCCACACUUGGAGAGAGCUGCACACAAAGCAGCAACUUGGCUCUGGGCGGCAGCUGGCUGAGGUCUCAUGGUCUGGAGGACAGCCCCUGGCUUUCACAUCGUCCGUGUCUUGCCAUUUCUCUUUGGAUAAGGCACAAAUGUCUGAAGAUAUCCUCCAGGCCCGAGGACCUGCUCCUAUUCUAUCCAGUCUCGUCUUUCAUGAGCCACUGUGCUUCAGCCACUGCUUUUCCUUCCACCCCUUUGUCUUUCCUUUUUCCCAGGUAUAAGGCCUUUGCACUUUCUAAACCCUCUCCUGCGUCUAGUGGGGACUUGGAGAAUCUUUGUGUCUCCCUAAGGGAUUGUGGAUGUACCAAUCAGCAACCUGUGUCUAGCUCAAGGUUUGUAAAUGCACCAAUCAGUGCUUUGUGUCUAGCUAACCUAGUGGGGACUUGGAGAACUUUUGUGUCUAGCUCAGGGAUUGCAAAUGCACCAAUCAGCACCCUGUCAAAAUGGACCAAUCAGCUCUCUGUAAAAUAGACAAAUCAGCUCUCUGUAAAAUGGACCAAUCAGCAAGGUGUAGGUGGGGCCAGAUAAGGGAAUAAAAGUAGGCUGCCUGAGCCAGCAGUGGUAACCUGCUAGGGUCCCCUUCUGCACUGUGGAAGCUUUGUUGUUUUGCUCUUUGCAAUAAAUCUUGUUUCUGCUCACUCUUUGGGUCCACAUUGCCUUUAUGAGCUCUAACACUCAUCGCGAAGGUCUACAGCUUCAUUCCUGAGCCAGCCAGACCACGAACCCACCAGGAGGAAUGAGCAACUCCAGACAAGAGGAAGGAGCAAACUCCGGACACACCGCCUUUAAGAACUGUAACGCUCACUGCGAGGGUCCGUGGCUUCAUUCUUGGAGUCAGUGAGACCAAGAACUCACCAAUUCCUGACACAAAGAGAGGCCUAAGAAACCAUCUAGGCCAAUGCUAUGGUUUUGGAGUUCAGGACAUUGUGGCUUAGAGACAAUAAUGGAUCUGCCUAAAAUCACAACACAAACUAGUACCAGUUCUUGAAUGAAAAUGUAGGUCUUCUGAUUCCUAGCCAAAUGCUUUUUAUAAGAAUGAAAAUUUUGUGUCCUUGGAAGGCCUAAGGCAUUUUCCCAGAGUAACUUAGAAGAGUCGGGCUCCAUGAAUAAUUUAGUAAUAUAGAAAUAAGAUUUUUUAAAAUGUCUAAAAUUGACUGCAUGACCCUGGAUAUAAAGUAUAAAAGCAGAAGACAGAUGUGAUGUGAGGCUGGCAACAAGUCGUGCCAUGCUCUAUGUACCCACACUAAAAGACAAUAUCCUUUCCACCUUACAUACUUUAUGGCAGUAUAAGCAUGUUAAGUAUGCAAAUCCUACAAUGCUGGCAACAUUUCAAGACUAGUUGUGUCACGGUGUUCAUAAGCCUGGGAGCUCACUAAGCUACAGAGCUCUUAAAACGUAGAAGUAGAAGAGGUAGAAAAAAAAAAGGAAUCACACUCCUUAUUACUGUAAACCAAAGAAAAAAUAUUUACAUUUUCAGCAUUCUGUUGGGUAGGAAAAAAGCUUUUCCUAUCCCAUCUUACAUGUUGUGCUGGAGCCUGUGAAUUAAAUUGAAAAAACAACAGCAACAAAAAUUAACAAGAGGCAAAAGCACACACAUGUAAUUGAUGUUUUCAUGUUACAUGCGUGCUGGCUACACAUAAGAUAAGUGAAAAACUCAAAACACUGGUUAGACUCAGGGGCUUAUAAACGAUGUGUGUAAUUCUGGAAUAAUCCUACUGACCUUGAAGCAGGCCCAAUACUCCCACAGCGUGUUCUUUUGUAUAAACAUAGACAUUGACUCUUCCGCUCUUAAAGCUUGAAACUUGUAUUUGUUUCAUCUGAGUUCUUUCCUCAGGAAAGGACCUUCAGGCCUCUCCAAAAAAAAAAAAAAAAGCAUUAAAGAACUGAAACUCACCAGAUGAGACCUCCUUGUUCCUCCCUAGUUCGUGUUUCCUACACAUUGUUACAUUUCUUGCCUGUUGUAUAAAACCCCAUUUUUAGUCAGUCAGGGCGAUGGAUUUGAGGCUGAGCUCCCAUCUCCUCAGCUGCAGCACCAGAUGAAAGCUUCUUCCCUGGAAACACUCACCAUCUCAGUGAUUGGCUUUCUGUGCAGUGAGCAGCAGGACUUAGACCAAACCCAUGGUGUUUUGGUAACAACCUCACCAAAAUAGAUGGGCACACACACAAGCCUUUAAAGAUACAAAGUUAAACGGAUAGUAUGGAUCAUUCAGUAUAGAGGAAACAGCAUAGCAAAUGUAUAGAGACGGAAAAUUACUAGAUAUGUUCCAGGAGCAACAUGCAAAUUCCACUGCCAGUUUUGGCUGUGAGGUCAAACAGAUCUGAUCUGAAUGUUUGCAUUCCUCCAAAAUUCAUACAUUGAAACCUAAUUCCCAAUGCAAUAACAUUAAGAGGUGGGGUCUCUAGGAGGUGACCAGGUCAUAAGGGUGGACCCUUCAUGAAUGGGUUUAGUACCCUUAUAAAAAUGUCUGAGAGAGCUUGCUUGUUUCUUCUGCCAUAUGAGGACAUAGAGAAAACUCCAUCUAUGAUGAAUGGGCCCUCAGCAGGCACCGAGUCUACUGCUGCCAUAUGAGGACAUACAGAAGAAUCCAUCCAUGAUGCAUGGGCCCUCAGCAGGCACCGAUUCUACUGCUGCCUUGAGCUUGGACCUCUGGCCUCCAGAACUACUAGCAAUACAUUUCUGUUGUUUUAUAAAUUACCUAGUCUAAGGUACAUUGCAGCAGAAAUGGACUGAGAGAGACAUCUUUCAGAGAAUUACCUCUGUUUGUUUGUCUGUUUCUGUUUUGUAAAACUGGAAGAAGAAUAGAACUUACAGUUCUGUGGUAUAAGAUUGUGUCCAGAAUUGGUGGGUUCUUGGUCUCACUGACUUCAAGAAUGAAGCUACAGACCCUCAAGGUGAGUGUUACAGUUCUUAAAGGCGGCGUGUCUGGAGUCUGUUCCUUCUGAUGUUCAGAUGUGUUGGGAGUUUCUUCCUUCUGGUGGGUUUGUGGUCUUGCUGGCUCAGGAGUGAAGCUGCAGACCUUCGCGGUGAGUGUUACAGCUCUUGGGGCAGUGUGUCUAGAGUUGUUCGUUCCUCCUGGUGGGCUCCUGGUAUCGCUGGCUUCAGGAGUGAAGCUGCAGACCUUCACGGUGAGUGUUACAGCUCAUAAAGGUAGUGUGGACCCAAAGAGUGAGCAGUAGCAAGCUUUAUUGCAAAGAGCAAAAGAACAAAGCUUCCACAGUGUGGAAGGGGACCCCAGCAGAUUGAAGCUUCUGGCUCGGGUAGCCUGCUUUUAUUCUCUUAUCUGGCCCCACCCACAUCCUGCUGAUUGGUCCAUUUUACAGAGAGCCGAUUGGUCUGUUUCACAAAGAGCUGAUUGGUCAGUUUUGACAGGGUGCUGAUUGGUUCGUUUACAAUCCCUGAGCUAGACACAAAAGUUCUCCACAUCCCCACUAGAUUAGCUAGAUAGAGUGUCGAUUGGUGUAUUUACAAACCCUGAGCUAGACAGAGUGCUGAUUGGUGCAUUUACAAACCUUGAGCUAGAUACAGCGUGUCAAUUGUUGCAUUCACAAUCCCUUAGCUAGACAUAAAGGUUCUCCAAGUCCUCACCAGAUUAACUAGAUACAGAGUGCUGAUUGGUGCAUUCACAAACCCUGAGCUAGACGCAGGGUGCUGAUUGGUGUGUUUACAAACCUUGAGCUAGAUACAGAGUGCUGAUUGGUGUAUUUACAAUCACUUAGCUAGACAUAAAGAUUCUCCAAGUCCCCACCAGACUCAGGAGCACAGCUGGCUUCACCCAGUGGAUCCUGCACCAGGGCCGCAGGUGGAGCUGCCCGCCACUUCCGCACUAUGAGCCCGCACUCCUCAGCCCUUGGGCGGUCGAUGGGACUAGGCACAGCCCUGGAGCAGGGAGCGCCCCUUGUCGGGGAGGCUCGGGCUGCACAGGAGCCCAUGUGGGGGUGCGGCGGGGGAGGCAGGCUCAGGCAUGGUGGGCUGCAGGUCCCAAGCCCUGCCCUGCCGGAGGCAGCUAAGGCCCAGCAAGAAGUCGAGCACAGCAGCUGGUGGCCCA
rnacentral:lncRNA from 1 species